GAUUAACGCUAGCGGCAGGCAUAAUACAUGCAAGUUGAACGGGAUAAGUUUAGCAAUAGACUUUGAGAGUGGCGCACGGGUGCGUAACACGUAUGCAACCUGCCCUUGACUGGAGAAUAGCCUCUCGAAAGAGAGAUUAAUGUUCCAUAACAUAAUGGUAGAGCAUUCUAUUAUUAUCAAAGCUCCGGCGGGCAAGGAUGGGCAUGCGGUUGAUUAGCUAGUUGGUGAGGUAACGGCUCACCAAGGCGACGAUCAAUAGGGGGUCUGGGAGGGUGUCCCCCCACACUGGUACUGAGACACGGACCAGACUCCUACGGGAGGCAGCAGUAGGGAAUAUUGGACAAUGGAGGCAACUCUGAUCCAGCCAUGCCGCGUGCAGGAAGACUGCCCUAUGGGUUGUAAACUGCUUUUGUACGGGAAGAAACCCAUCUACGUGUAGGUGGUUGACGGUACCGUAAGAAUAAGGAUCGGCUAACUUCGUGCCAGCAGCCGCAGU
rnacentral:rRNA from 1 species